CAUUCUCUUAGCUUAUACUGCAUUUAAUUGCUCAUUAAAUUUGAUUUGGGUACGGCCUCGAUCACCAUGCUUUCAUUGAAGAUAACUAGUGUUUUCUUCAUAAAUGGGACAUCCAAAAUGACCUAACCGCUCAAGUUUCCAUAUGCUGGGAAAUCAUUUAUAGUGCAAAACAACAUUGCACGCAAACGAAAAGUUUCUUGAACAUCUGAAUCGAUGACGUCGACCCCUUCUUCCCACAACAUUUUCAAAUCAUCUGUUGAUAGGGGGAGCUAUGUAAUCUAAUAGAUUAGUUUUCGAGCAACUUUCGAAAAACCAGCUCUGGUGCCAAUUGUAAGAAUAGUUAGGCCUUAUUUAUCCAACCAAGAGGGGAGGUGAAUUAGUUCUUAUUGAAAAUAUGUUCUUUUAUUAAUCUUUGGAAAAUCUUUAUAACUUUCUUAAACACAUAAGCCAAAAAAGAAUAAAAUGCAAUAAAAGAGUAAAGGUAUAGAAAAACCAACACAUAUUUUUAUACUGGUUCGGCCUCAAUGCCUACAUCCAAUCUCUUUCAAUCAACAUGAGAUUGAAAGUUCUUUCACUACGAAGAUUGAGUUAUACAACAAGACCUAUACAGACCCUCUCUCAAUGUAAUUUCCUCUCCAACUCCAAAUCUAAUAUAGGAACAAAUACAACAUAGAAAAUAUUGUUGGAAAACAGGUAGGCUUCUUUAAACACCAAGAGGGGGGUGAAUUGGUGAUGUUUCAAAAAUAUGUUCUUUUCGCAAUCUUGCAAACAAAGUCUAAAGCUUUUUCAAGUUUCUUGAAAUGCAAGUGUUGACUCACUCGCAAGUGUACCAGAUCGUUCAAGUAAUAUAAUAGGUAAAGCUCGAUAUUGUUCUUCCCAAGAGACUCGAAAGGCCUUAUCGUUCAUGUGAAUUAAAAUCGUAAGACUUGUAGAAAAAGAUUAAUUGUUGCGGAUGCAAAGACAGAAAAUAAACAUGCAAUGUGAUUGAUUCAAUUGACGAAAAAGACUAUGGAUGAAUGGAGUUGUUGGGGGUUGACAAUUUCAUCUUAUAUGCUCCCUCUUAUCUACUCCUCUUGUUUAAUGUGCUUGAUUAUCUAAUUGUUAUGCAAACUUUCUUGGCCUACCCUUAACCCGAUCCCUCGGCGAAAAGAGCCUAUUACUAAUUACCGACUUGCUAUCCCUAGCCUCCCCUAG
rnacentral:lncRNA from 1 species